rnacentral:lncRNA from 1 species
AGGAACUGGAGCCAGUCGCGAGGACGUGGCUCAUCAGCACGGCAUAGAGGAUCCGAGCGUCGUCAGACAUUGAGCUGCGUGAUCUGCGGUGGUCGUCAUUAUCCGCGACAGUGCUCACAGAGGCAGGGCAGGUGCUACUCGUGUGGCCAGGAGGGUCACUUCCAGUCAGAUUGUCCGAGAGGUUUAGUAUCAGCGCCAUCUUCAACAUCGGCACCGGUAUUGCCGUGUUCCAUCCCGGGGACGCCUUCUACUCACUAUCAGGCCGGGAGGCCACCCAUCCUGAGACAGAUGGAGGGGUCACGACGGGCCCCGGGCGGGCGCAUGUACGCGGCCCAGAGGGAGGAGGCGGCAGCAGCUGAGUUGUGACUACAGGUAUCAGUUUCUUUUGUGGCAUUCCAGUUAUGCAUUGUUGGUUACCGGUGCAUUGCACCUAUGAUCGGCUAUUCGCCGAGUUGCAUGGCACCUCGUUAGUUCGCUGUUUGCGACGUUGUGUAGCCCCUCGAGCUAGGCGGUUGAUUUGCGGAUGGUGGGUAGCAUGUUUUGCUAUGCUUGUAGAUCUCACGAGGAUUGCAUUAGUUGCAUCCCUGGAUCGGCUGUUUGCCGGAUGAUGCUUGGAGACGACCGUGCCUGGACCAUUCGGGGACUGAGGAGCCUGGGCCCGUUGGGCAGGCGGAGUCGGUUGUGUGUGACAGCGGCCCGGUACCUACAGGUAGGGUAGAGUUUUGGUUAGGAUGGUAGUCUGAGCGUAGACCCUGGAGCGUGGGAAGCCACGUGUUGGAUCGUGAGAUCGAGGACACACCGAGUGUGUAGUGACCCAACCUGAGGAUUUGUUAGCGUUGAACUUUUCGGCGCGUGUGGAUGAUUAGUUGAUCGGGUGCGUCGUUUCGACCACCCUACCGUGUGGGAUGGUUUUGGUGCGCCAACAAAUAGAUUGGCCUUCCGUGGUGUGGAGUUGUGGUGGGUACCUGGUACCCUUGGAUUG